ACUGCUCAGUAACACGUGGAUAACCUACUCUUAGGACUGGGAUAACCCUGGGAAACUGGGGAUAAUACCGGAUAGUUAGGGGUUCCUGGAAUGGUCUUCUAUUUAAAUGUUCAGGCGCCUAAGGAUGGAUCUGCGGCAGAUUAGGUAGUUGGUGGGGUAAUGGCCCACCAAGCCUUUGAUCUGUACGGGUUGUGAGAGCAAGAGCCCGGAGAUGGAACCUGAGACACGAAUCCAGGCCCUACGGGGUGCAGCAGGCGCGAAAACUUUACAAUGCUGGCAACAGCGAUAAGGGGACCUCGAGUGCCAGGAUACAAUCUUGGCUGUCGUGAUGCCUAAAAAGCAUUGCAUAGCAAGGGCCGGGCAAGACCGGUGCCAGCCGCCGCGGUAACACCGGCGGCUCGAGUGGUAACCGCUAUUAUUGGGUCUAAAGGGUCUGUAGCCGGCCGGAUAAGUCUUUUGGGAAAUCCAGCUGCUCAACAGUUGGGCUUCCAGAAGAUACUGUUCGGCUCGAGGCCGGGAGAGGUGAGAGGUACUUCAGGGGUAGGGGUGAAAUCUUGUAAUCCUUGAAGGACCACCAGUGGCGAAGGCGUCUCACCAGAACGGUCCUGACGGCAAGGGACGAAAGCUAGGGGCACGAACCGGAUUAGAUACCCGGGUAGUCCUAGCCGUAAACGAUACUCGCUAGGUGUCAGCCACGAUGCGACCGUGGUUGGUGCCGUAGGGAAGCCGUGAAGCGAGCCACCUGGGAAGUACGGCCGCAAGGCUGAAACUUAAAGGAAUUGGCGGGGGAGCAC
rnacentral:rRNA from 1 species